rnacentral:rRNA from 2 species
CUGCGGCAGCGACACUAUGUGUUGUUGGGUAGGGGAGCGUUCUGUAAGCCUGUGAAGGUGGCCUGUGAGGGUUGCUGGAGGUAUCAGAAGUGCGAAUGCUGACAUAAGUAACGAUAAAGCGGGUGAAAAGCCCGCUCGCCGGAAGACCAAGGGUUCCUGUCCAACGUUAAUCGGGGCAGGGUGAGUCGACCCCUAAGGCGAGGCCGAAAGGCGUAGUCGAUGGGAAACGGGUUAAUAUUCCCGUACUUGGUGUUACUGCGAAGGGGGGACGGAGAAGGCUAUGUUGGCCGGGCGACGGUUGUCCCGGUUUAAGCGUGUAGGCUGGUUUUCCAGGCAAAUCCGGAAAAUCAAGGCUGAGGCGUGAUGACGAGGCACUACGGUGCUGAAGCAACAAAUGCCCUGCUUCCAGGAAAAGCCUCUAAGCAUCAGGUAACACGAAAUCGUACCCCAAACCGACACAGGUGGUCAGGUAGAGAAUACCAAGGCGCUUGAGAGAACUCGGGUGAAGGAACUAGGCAAAAUGGUGCCGUAACUUCGGGAGAAGGCACGCUGACAUGUAGGUGAAGUGAUUUACUCAUGGAGCUGAAGUCAGUCGAAGAUACCAGCUGGCUGCAACUGUUUAUUAAAAACACAGCACUGUGCAAACACGAAAGUGGACGUAUACGGUGUGACGCCUGCCCGGUGCCGGAAGGUUAAUUGAUGGGGUCAGCGCAAGCGAAGCUCCUGAUCGAAGCCCCGGUAAACGGCGGCCGUAACUAUAACGGUCCUAAGGUAGCGAAAUUCCUUGUCGGGUAAGUUCCGACCUGCACGAAUGGCGUAAUGAUGGCCAGGCUGUCUCCACCCGAGACUCAGUGAAAUUGAACUCGCUGUGAAGAUGCAGUGUACCCGCGGCAAGACGGAAAGACCCCGUGAACCUUUACUAUAGCUUGACACUGAACAUUGAGCCUUGAUGUGUAGGAUAGGUGGGAGGCUUUGAAGUGUGGACGCCAGUCUGCAUGGAGCCGACCUUGAAAUACCACCCUUUAAUGUUUGAUGUUCUAACGUGGACCCGUAAUCCGGGUUGCGGACAGUGUCUGGUGGGUAGUUUGACUGGGGCGGUCUCCUCCUAAAGAGUAACGGAGGAGCACGAAGGUUGGCUAAUCCUGGUCGGACAUCAGGAGGUUAGUGCAAUGGCAUAAGCCAGCUUGACUGCGAGCGUGACGGCGCGAGCAGGUGCGAAAGCAGGUCAUAGUGAUCCGGUGGUUCUGAAUGGAAGGGCCAUCGCUCAACGGAUAAAAGGUACUCCGGGGAUAACAGGCUGAUACCGCCCAAGAGUUCAUAUCGACGGCGGUGUUUGGCACCUCGAUGUCGGCUCAUCACAUCCUGGGGCUGAAGUAGGUCCCAAGGGUAUGGCUGUUCGCCAUUUAAAGUGGUACGCGAGCUGGGUUUAGAACGUCGUGAGACAGUUCGGUCCCUAUCUGCCGUGGGCGCUGGAGAACUGAGGGGGGCUGCUCCUAGUACGAGAGGACCGGAGUGGACGCAUCACUGGUGUUCGGGUUGUCAUGCCAAUGGCACUGCCCGGUAGCUAAAUGCGGAAGAGAUAAGUGCUGAAAGCAUCUAAGCACGAAACUUGCCCCGA